CACCACCCCCUAUCCCUCAAAUAUGCCCCAUAUUUACAUCUCAUUUUUUGUUAACUCUAUCUCUCAUUUAUUAACAACCACUGCUGUUUUUUUCCUCAUUUCUUUCCCUUUUAUAACUUCGGUUUUUAUUUUAUUUUUAUCUUAUUUCUAAACGUUUCUAUUCUAAAUUACUCUAGGUUAAAGCCCCUACAUUUACAAUUUUUGGGGCAGGUGCUUUACUCGUUAUUACCAGCUAUUUAUAAUUUAAUGUUAAAACCAACCUGCCCCGUCGGCGAAACUGGCGCCCGCCAGAAGCCGACGCUAAACCACUUAAUUCAUUCAUUUGUCUAAAUCUAUCAAUUUGUCAAAAAGAUUAGUCUGAAAGGUGUUAAAGUAGGGUCGGUAAGGUCCAGUGUGGUUAAAUCAGUGUAGUCAGUAGUUACAUUGAAUUGCUGUAACUGACGUAAUACAGCACGGCCAUGUAAAGUCGGGUCGGUGAGAUCCAGUGUGUGUAUAUCAGUGUACACGCAGUCACUGUAAUCACGGUACUAUAUAUAUAGAAAUGACGCUUAUAGAUUACAAUCUUCAUUUCCUGGAAGAGAAACCGAAAGUAGCCGCCCUGUUUCGUUUCAAGCCCAUCAGUAUAAUCACGUUACGCCGUCACUGUCCCCGCAGUGCCCGACAUGAAGCCAUCGAGACAAGAUACAGGGCACUUCGUCAAAUGAAUGACGUUAGCACAUGCUGCGACAUCUAACGUUCAUGACUACCCAGUGUGUGUGUUUACAUUAACGAGCGGUUGGUCCAAUGACUGUGUCGAUACCUGCUACCAUAAUGGACGGGUACCUGCGAGAUGAUGAAAUACUCAGUGUAUUCUGGAUCACAGGCCUUCCAACAUGUGACAGGCCAAGGCUUGGGGUUGCUGUGUGUACACUUUGGAAUAAACCAUAGGCAGUCUUCUACUCUGAAAGAAAACCAGACAACUCCUGUAUUCAUGCUGAGUUGAAUCUGAUUCGGACCUUGGAGUUCCUGUUUACCGAAACGAAUCUAUGUAAUACCGGUAUGGGGCACAGGUUGAACAUUAAGGUUUUCCAGAAUUACAGCCCAUGUUGGCAUUGUGCCAAAGGGUACUGUCGUAUUCUAAAAGACCUCAGAAAACGCCACUUCAAUGUGUCUGUAAGUAUUCAUUUUGUCUCUUUGUUCAAAAUCUGCUGGGACGAAGCUGAUUUCGAAAGUUCACCGAGCUACUUGGACCGAGCAACUCAUGACCAAAACGUCCAGGGAUUACGGAACCUGAGGAACCAGGAUGUGAUCCUGAGAACAUUCACACACCAAACAUGGACAGACCUGCGCUUAGUGCUCGGCAUCCUUGGGCCAUACAUACAUCCGGGAUAUCUGAUGGGAGUUUCAGGGAUUCCCGUAAAUCCCCGGAGACGUGAAUCAGCUGAUAAGAAUACAAGGGAUAACCUUCGAAGAAUAUUAAGUAGGCCUAGUGUUUGAAUGGACUUUAGAACUGAUACGUAGUAGUGUUUCCCCCAGGAUCUCAAAAGGGCAGGCAGAUGUGAUUUCAAAAGGGGCACCCCUAUUCCAAAAAGGGGCUUGCAAUGAUCGAUUAGAUAUAUUGCGUCAAGCUAUUCAUGUAUAUGGUUCUUAAAGGUUCAAAGAGCACAGCACAGUUAUUACACUGAACUUCAAUAUGAAAUAGAAAAUAAAGAGAACCAAGUGUUA